rnacentral:lncRNA from 1 species
CGCUUCCUCCCCAGCUCCCACACCUGCUGGCCUCUCCAGGCUCUCACCUAGGUUCUGAUGGCAGCCUCCGCUCCUGUCUCCUGCAGACCCCCUCAUCCAUCUCAGCUUCCCGACGUGAGAUUCAGGCCACAAAGGAUGCUACUGCAGGACUUCCUGCAUAACCGGCUUCACACACCAAUCCUGUAACACCACCAGCUCUGGAGGCUUGCUGAGGCCAGAGGAAGGAGAAGACUGAGGUUCAAACCGCCCAGGCAAUGAGGCUUGGCCACUUUUUUCCCUGCGGGGCUCCUCAGUCUGUCACAUGACAGUGUGCUUUGGGGGCAUCUCAGAAGAGCCCAGUGGAACAGCAGGAAAUAUCUUAUUGUAUUGUACUAACUCUUCUUACGAUGCGAGACAGAAGCCCACAUGAUCGGAGGAAGUGAGGUGGAUGAUGUAGGCAUUGUGAUGUGGCCUUAGGCUACCAGGAAAAGGUUACUGAACACAAGCACGGAGGUCCUACGACAGCUUAUCUUAUACCUCAAACAGCUAAGUGACUAACAGGAAGGCUCCUCGAGGGAAAGGACUAUUUAUCUUCUCUGGUGUUCCAUUUAGGAAAAUUUUGUUGACUGAAAAAAAUGAUCAUGGUAAGAACGGCACAAGCUUACAUCAUUCUUCCUAUGCACCGAGUCCUGUUCUGACCUUUUCCCAUACCGCUAAUAAAAAUAGCCAGUCUUUAAGGGGCAGCUGCUGUGGGCCAAAACCUUGUUUCAAGAGCUUAGCAAGUAUUAGUUCAUCUUCACACCUACGAGAAAUCUGGUUUAGCUGCUCAGGCAUCCCACUGAGGAAGGAACCAGAUGCUCUGGGCCAACACUCAUGGCUGGGACGAAGGAGUCCAGGGUCACUGGGAUAACAAAUGAC